GCUACAGGCUUAACACAUGCAAGUCGAGGGGCAGCAUGGUCUUAGCUUGCUAAGGCCGAUGGCGACCGGCGCACGGGUGAGUAACACGUAUCCAACCUGCCGUCUACUCUUGGACAGCCUUCUGAAAGGAAGAUUAAUACAAGAUGGCAUCAUGAGUCCGCAUGUUCACAUGAUUAAAGGUAUUCCGGUAGACGAUGGGGAUGCGUUCCAUUAGAUAGUAGGCGGGGUAACGGCCCACCUAGUCUUCGAUGGAUAGGGGUUCUGAGAGGAAGGUCCCCCACAUUGGAACUGAGACACGGUCCAAACUCCUACGGGAGGCAGCAGUGAGGAAUAUUGGUCAAUGGGCGAGAGCCUGAACCAGCCAAGUAGCGUGAAGGAUGACUGCCCUAUGGGUUGUAAACUUCUUUUAUAAAGGAAUAAAGUCGGGUAUGGAUACCCGUUUGCAUGUACUUUAUGAAUAAGGAUCGGCUAACUCCGUGCCAGCAGCCGCGGUAAUACGGAGGAUCCGAGCGUUAUCCGGAUUUAUUGGGUUUAAAGGGAGCGUAGAUGGAUGUUUAAGUCAGUUGUGAAAGUUUGCGGCUCAACCGUAAAAUUGCAGUUGAUACUGGAUAUCUUGAGUGCAGUUGAGGCAGGCGGAAUUCGUGGUGUAGCGGUGAAAUGCUUAGAUAUCACGAAGAACUCCGAUUGCGAAGGCAGCCUGCUAAGCUGCAACUGACAUUGAGGCUCGAAAGUGUGGGUAUCAAACAGAAUUAGAUACCCUGGUAGUCCACACGGUAAACGAUGAAUACUCGCUGUUUGCGAUAUACUGCAAGCGGCCAAGCGAAAGCGUUAAGUAUUCCACCUGGGGAGUACGCCGGCAACGGUGAAACUCAAAGGAAUUGACGGGGGCCCGCACAAGCGGAGGAACAUGUGGUUUAAUUCGAUGAUACGCGAGGAACCUUACCCGGGCUUAAAUUGCAGAUGAAUUACGGUGAAAGCCGUAAGCCGCAAGGCAUCUGUGAAGGUGCUGCAUGGUUGUCGUCAGCUCGUGCCGUGAGGUGUCGGCUUAAGUGCCAUAACGAGCGCAACCCUUGUUGUCAGUUACUAACAGGUUCCGCUGAGGACUCUGACAAGACUGCCAUCGUAAGAUGUGAGGAAGGUGGGGAUGACGUCAAAUCAGCACGGCCCUUACGUCCGGGGCUACACACGUGUUACAAUGGGGGGUACAGAGGGCCGCUACCACGCGAGUGGAUGCCAAUCCCCAAAACCUCUCUCAGUUCGGACUGGAGUCUGCAACCCGACUCCACGAAGCUGGAUUCGCUAGUAAUCGCGCAUCAGCCACGGCGCGGUGAAUACGUUCCCGGGCCUUGUACACACCGCCCGUCAAGCCAUGGGAGCCGGGGGUACCUGAAGUGCGUAACCGCGAGGAGCGCCCUAGGGUAAAACUGGUGACUGGGGCUAAGAC
rnacentral:rRNA from 1 species